CAGCCGUUGUGGAUGUCUAUGGGCUCCAG
rnacentral:sRNA from 1 species